rnacentral:rRNA from 1 species
GACCUGAUAUCAGGCAAGACUAC